GGCGGACGGGUGAGUAACACGUGGGCAACCUUGCCUAUAAGACUGGGAUAACUUCGGGAAACCGGAGCUAAUACCGGAUAAUUCACAUCUACUCAUGUAGAUGUGCUGAAAGACGGUUUACGCUGUCACUUAUAGAUGGGCCCGCGGCGCAUUAGCUAGUUGGUGAGGUAACGGCUCACCAAGGCCACGAUGCGUAGCCGACCUGAGAGGGUGAUCGGCCACACUGGGACUGAGACACGGUCCAGAUUCAUACGGGAGGCAGCAGUAGGGAAUCUUCCGCAAUGGACGAAAGUCUGACGGAGCAACGCCGCGUGAGUGAUGAAGGUUUUCGGAUCGUAAAACUCUGUUGUUAGGGAAGAACAAGUAUCGGAGUAACUGCCGGUACCUUGACGGUACCUAACCAGAAAGCCACUGUAACUACGUGCCAGCCGCCGCGG
rnacentral:rRNA from 1 species